rnacentral:rRNA from 1 species
AACGAACGCUGGCGGCAUGCCUAACACAUGCAAGUCGAACGAGACCUUCUGGUCUAGUGGCUCAUGGGUGCGUAACGCGUUGGAACCUGCCCUUAUGUUCUGAAUAACUCCCUGAAAGGGGUGCUAAUACCGGAUAAUGUUUUCGGACCAAAGAUUUUUCGCCUUUGGAUGGGCCCGCGUUGGUUUAGCUAGUGGGUUGGGUAAACGCCUACUAAGGCGACGAGCCAGAGCUGGUCUGAGAGGAUGAUCAGCGAGACUGGGACUGAGACACGGCCCAGACGCGAGGGGGAGGCGGAAGAGGGGGAUAUUGGAGUAGAGGAGAGAGGCUGAGACAGCAAGGCCGGGUGAGUGGUGAAGGCGUUGGGGUUGGAAAGCGCUUAUGACGGGGAUGAUAAUGACAGUACCGGGAGAAUAAGCGCCGGCUAACUACGUG